rnacentral:lncRNA from 7 species
ACAUAAACUCGGGCAACCGCCUCCAGCUAUCCGCGUUAGGAAGUUAGAAAAUCUAGGAGGACUCCGCGCGUCGCUCAACCUCACCGGCAACCGCGCAGCCGCUUAACGGCCACCGGUUUCCACGGAGCAUAUGCCCAGUGCAUAAAUACCCAGAUCGCUGGGACCAUGUACUUUGCGCCAUCACCGAAGGGGAGAGAAGGGUGUUGCCGCCGCCACGGAUGAGGCUAGCCGGAGAGUCCUCCUGCUGCACGCCGAAGCGGAACAACGCCUGGCAACACCGUGAUCUUGGCGCGAGGACUUGUGUCAUCUGAAAAGCAAGUUGGUACCUGGAUUCUCAAGUGCCAGGUCAAGAACAGGUACCACAGGAUGAGGCGCAUGAAGGAUGCUGUGACGAGUUCGUGAGAGGUCUAGACCGUCGUCUCCCAGUCAACUUUGGGUUGCUGGACCGUUGUCUCCUUAUAAUGUAAUUAUUUAUUUAUUUUGUACAAAACUCCUGUUAUGUAGUAAAGAUGUGACAUUUGAUCCUGUGCC